UUUUGACAAAUAUAAUAUAGUUGGACAUACGGAGUAUUAUUAUGGGAGAUUUUCACAUAUGGAAAGGCACCUGAUUAUAUUCCCCUCAGCCACUUAUCAGCAGGAAAGCGAUUGGACCAACCACUUGACUGUUCUGCCGUAAUUUACAUGAUUAUGUUAAGUUGUUGGGAUAUUAUACCGGAAAAAAGACCGACAUUCCAAGAACUGGUGAAGAGGAUCGAACAGAUACUGUCAUCCAGUCGAGAAUGUUUGAAACUAGUAUGGUGAACACGAUGUCUUACAUCCGAGAGUAGUCUCCAUGUUGUAAUAUUAUAUAAUACCUAUUUCUAUACUUCAAUAAAUACACGGGAUAACUAAUAACAACAAGCCAUACGGGAUGUAGGAUGAUUCAAUAUACAUAAUUAUACGCACUCCUUAUAUAGGUACACACGCGACACACGCAGCACUUAAAUAAUAAUCCAUAGCCUUCCGAGGAAGAAAUACAGUAAAAAUAACACAAUAUAAAUAACAAGCAGUACCUUUGUCAAACCGCACUAAAUAAAAUCAUAAACACAUCAAUACUUUAACAUUGCGCAUUAAUCAAUGCAUAUCAAAAGAAGCGAUUACAAAAAAAUCAUUUUAUAUAAGGAUCAUACAGAAUCAACUUUUUCCCUGUCUUAUUCACAAGGUCGUCAUGCACAACGUCCACGCCAGCCAAUCUCUCAAAAGAAGCCUCAAAACACAUCGUCCACCCCAGUAUAUUAUGCACUUCCACAAUAUUUUUGCCAUUCAAAGCGAUUGCGUUCUUAAUAUAUAUAUAUUGAGUAAUUCUAACAUUCGGUAUGACUGUCUUAUUAAUUAUCUCGGAUUACCGAACAAAA